rnacentral:rRNA from 1 species
CCUACGGGUGGCAGCAGUGGGGAAUAUUGCACAAUGGGCGAAACCCUGAUGCAGCGACGCCGCGUGAGUGAAGACGUAUUUCGGUAUGUAAAGCUCUAUCAGCAGGGAAGAAAAUGACGGUACCUGAUUCAGAAGCCCCGACUAACUACGUGCCAGCAGCCGCGGGAAUCCGUAGGGGGCAAGCGUUAUCCGGAUUUACUGGGUGGAAAGGGAGCGUAGACGGCAGCACAAGUCUGGAGGGAAAUGCCGGGGCUUAACCCCGGAACUGCUGUGGAAACUGUGCAGCUAGAGUGCAGGAGAGGUAAGUGGAAUUCGUGGUGUAGCGGUGAAAUGCGUAGAUAUUAGGAGGAACACCAGUGGCGAAGGCGGCUUACUGGACUGUAACUGACGUUGAGGCUCGAAAGCGUGGGUAGCAAACAGGAUUAGAUACCCUAGUAGUC